GGGCGGUUAGCUCAGAGGGAGAGCGCUACCUUGACACGGUAGAGGUCGCUGGUUCGAUCCCAGUACCACCCA
rnacentral:tRNA from 1 species